AGCAUGGUGUUUGCAAUGCAUGGUGUUUGCAACGCCAGGGUUGUGGGUUCGAUUCCCAC
rfam:Salmo salar isolate Sally breed double haploid chromosome ssa19, whole genome shotgun sequence.